GGAUAUAACCCUAUGAAUGGAGGCAUUGUCAUCUUAUACACAAAGAGUCUGGCGUUAUCUCUGUAAUAUCUGUAUGUAUAAUUCACAAGUUUGAUUCAUAUUUGACACAUCUAACAUAUUUGAUAUGAGACGUUUAUGGCAAAAAUGUGGAACUUUCUUCACAGCUUUUUGAAUGAGACUGCAGAUUUCUUUUUGACCUGUGUAAUAAUGUGUCUUUACUGGAAUAUGUGUGUGUACAGGACUAUUUAUGCAUAAUCUCUCUUCACACUGCGUCCUCAAAAGUCUACCUGUGGUUUUGAAGUCAGAAUGAAAGAUGAGUAAUAGGCUCUGCAGUCCUCAUAGUGAAAAUCUAUCCCUGUGCAAGCGACUAUAACAAGUUUAACUGGAAUAACUGCUCUCUACCCUGGAGUACAUUCUGAAAGGAAGAAAGUCUUACAAACUGUGAAAUUUUGAAGCUCUGCUACUGUCAUUACAGAGUACAGAAUGAAUUACAGGUGAGGUAAUGUCACUUACAGGUGUUUCUGCAAUUGUGGUGUUAUUUUAAAAUACAUCUCCAAAGAAAAGCAAUUUCCACUAAUCCACUCCAAAAGCUGCAGUAAUAAUGAAGCCUGAUUUCUCUUAAUGAAAGUCUUUAACUCUCAUUCAUUGUUAAAUUUUGACUUCUCACAGUGGAAAUAGGAACACCCUAGAAUAACAUGUCUACUUUUGUUUUAUAUGGUCAUAGAUAAAUAAUGCUGCAGAAUGAAAUCAAGCUACAUAAUUAUAAAAAAAAAAAAAAGUAAAAAAAAAAAAAAAGUGAAAAAAGAAAAGUCAGGUGAUAUAUAUCCACCUGAUUCCAAGUAGUGAACAUUGCCUUGAUGUUGCACGCACAUUCCAGAUACGCUUUAUUCUAGUAACUGUAUUAUUCAGUGUAUUUUGGACUGGAAUAGUUCUAGCAUGAGUGUGAAAUCAUCUCUUUAAAUCUAUUUAAAAGCCACAGGCAGACUUCUGUGAGGAUUCAGCAGAGCUUCUUGUAGAAAAAAUGCAUAGAAACCAUACGACCCUUGGACAUUACAUUUGUUUCAUACAUAUCUGUUCACAUCUUGUCUGUGUGCCCUACCUAAGUCAGAGCCCACUGAAGCCAAAAUUGCCAUGGACAUUAACAGAAGUAGGAUAACUUUUAAACUGAAAAGUUUAUAUUUCAUACAUUAAAAAAAAAAGUCCUUCAACAAUCAUGAAAGUGAGUUUCAAUUGGAAAAAUAAACUAGGGGAAUGUGUCUUUGAAAAUCCCAUUCUGAGCAACCAGUAAAUGAAAAAAGAUUUAAAAAACGUUUACUGGCAAUAAAAAAUAUAUUGUCAAUACCUAAAUAGCAAUAGUAAUGGGAAUAUAUGUGUAACAUGCAGCUGAUGAGAAUUAGGUAUGUCUAUGCAGCGAAAAGAUAUAGACUUUUCCAGUCUAUAUUUACUUCAGUAAAGUUAGAGAGUAAAUAUCUGAAUAUUUUAAAGAAUGGUAUAAAGUUUAAAAAUAAAAGAAUCCCAAUAAAAUCACUGAAAAGAAAAGAAGACUUCAUAGAAGCAAAAUCUAGUGGCAAAGUGGUAUAAUAGAGUUGUCAGUCAAUGUAAACAAUCUUACUAAGUAACAGUGAACAUUCCUAGUAAUAAGUACACACAGAAAAUAGAGUAAGUGAUCUAUGUGUCUGUAUCAGAUCUCUUUUAGGAAUGAAACAAAAAAUUACACAGCAAUGAAAAAAACGGAAUGUAAGAAAGCAGGCUAAGAACAGUAGAACAAUCAGAAUAAGCAAAAAAAAUUAGUUUCAAGGCAAAGUAAUAAUAAAACUUGUAUAAAUAAAUGGAAAGAUCAAGAAAGAAAAUAUUGUAUGGCACAGUAAAGACUACUGUAUGCAGGUCUUUUCCUUUGCAAAAGAAAAAAUACUGUGAUGUAUUUUAAGAUAGUACGUUUGAAGGGUGUACUAAUUUUAAUUGAAAAAGAGUAGGUUACAUGAAAUGUAGGUAAGUAAAAUGAAGGUGAAAGGUAAGGUGAAACCUUCUUCUCAUCACUGAUUUGUAGAGGUCUACCUUCUGUCUGAACUAAUUCUGGAUCUGCAAAUUCCAUAUGGAUUAUAUAACUGAUGAUAUCUAAGAAUAAGUCAAAUAAUAUAAAACUUGUUUUUAAGGAUGGGUAACUGUAGGAUUGGAAGAACAAUUUUCUUGUAAUCUAGAUCUCUUGGUCUUCCAUGAAGGCCAAUUAUUAGUUUAUAAGACACUAGCUAGCUUAUCAUGUCAGUGAUGGGAAUUUUCAUCCUAAGUGAGCUGACCACAAGUGGGGAAAAUAAACAAAUAAUAGAACUUGGUCUUUUCAUAUGUGAUGCUAUGUCAUAUGACAGUAAACAUUACUUAGUAGAUAAGUUUUCAAAAAAAUUCUGUUAAUAUUUUCUGAAUAUAUUUAGAAUAAAAUAUAGAGAACAAAAUGAAGUAAUGUCUAUUUGAUGUGAUAAAAGUAGGAAUGAAAUUGUAAAAUCUUUGUUUGAAAAAGGAGACAGAAAAAAAGAAUAAUGUAUUUUUCUUAGAAGGAAAAAUGUCAUUUACAGUUUGAUGCUUUUAAACUGUGAACAGAUUUUGUCUUGUAUCUCACAUUUUAGGUUUAACAAUAUUCCAUUUGCUUGUAAACUAAUGCUUUGAGUUAUCUCAGGUAUUCAAACACAUGACAGAAUUCAUUUCUGAUCUUUGAACUCCAUCUGUCUGACCAGUCCUUUAUGUUUGCAGUAGUCCAUUUUAUGAAUAAUAAUCUAUCUUCCUUUUUAAAUAUGCUGCUUAGAACAAUUUGUGCAUCUAUAGUUGUCUCAUUUGACUACUAUAGUGUGAUAGAAAGUUGUCUGCUAAUAUCAUUUAAAUAUGCAGAAAACAUGUUCAAUUUGUGUAAUCAGUCUACAAUCCAGAAGAAUAACUGUACUAAAUUAAAAGGAACAGUUGUUAUUAUCACUAUUACUGUCACUAUUGCUACAUAUUAUAUACUAUAAAAUAUUAAAAAAUGGUCACCAUAAUCUUUAAUUUGGUUUGAACAUCAUUGCUAAUUUCCCCAAAGUAAUGAUAUUCAGUUUUAGGUCUACAAUCAGGAAACGCUUAUCUAUUUAGCAAAGCAUUUCUUGAGGAACGAACCAGCAAUUAAAUUCUACUGUAUGUACUAUAUUUUACUAUGUAGGUAUAAAAUUUACUUUAUAUACUCACCCAUUAUUCUCUGAAUGUAUGAACUUGGCUAAAUAUUUAAGGUAUUUCAAAUGCUGGAUCUAGAUAAAUGUUCUUAUACCCUUGUAUUAAAACUAGUCUAUUACUGAUUAUCAAAUAAGAAAAGAAUGACUGCCUUCCUCAGCUCCUAUGUAGUUGUAUAGCCAGCAGUCGUCACAUCCUUUUCUACGUAAGAAACAGUACUAUUUGUUCUUUUUCCCCACUGUCAUAAUGCUAUUCCUUAUUCUUCAUUUGCUUCCCCCUAGCAUUUUUUUUCUUGUUUUAAAGAGCCAAUUGAAAAGGAUCUCACUUGUAUUCAGUGGUUUGUAAUUGACACCUGAAUUAUGGUAUUAUUUUUAUAUUUUCCUUCACAAUUUCCUUAUAAUACUCUUAUAAUACUCUUUUAUCUUAUUAUUUAUUUUUUUCUAUAGCACAUAGUAACUCUUCCAGGGAAACAGUUUCUCUUCUUGUCCAUUUCCUCUCAUGAUACUUGCUUUGUAACAUCAUACUGAUAUGAUACAGAGAUCAUUUGAUAGCUAUCGUUUAUUAAAGACAAUAACUAUGUCUACAAACUAGACUAAACCUCUAAAUAGGGCCACUUGAUCUUGGUUUCAGCUUACGAAAUGAAGAUCAAAGUACUAUUAGCCCAAAUAAUGGAGAGUUUCUUUAUGGUCAGUGAAGAGUGAAGUAAACCUAGAUAAAGAAGGAAGGUUGAGAUGAGAUAAAAAAUUGAUGAGGAUUAAAAGAUUUGAGGUGAAGAUGGAAAGACAGGAACUAUGAUCUCAAAUGCCUUCUUUUGGAAACCAGAGGAAAAAAGUAAGCAUUUUCUGACAAUUGUUUUCUUUGUAGUGAUGAAUAGUAAGUCAGAUGAUACUGUUGCCAUUUUUACUGGUGGUGAGUUGUUUACUGUUCAAAAACUAUGGUAGAGCCCCAUAGAUAUUAAAUCAUGGGUUCU